rnacentral:rRNA from 1 species
CCAACAAUCUAGCCUAAACUACAACUGUUACCUUAAAAUAAAAAUCAAAAUAUUUUUAUAUCUUAGUAAGAACGACCAAAAAAUUAAUUAGAGCAAUAGAUAAAACCGCAAGGUAAAAUGAAAUAGAAAUGAAACAACACUCAAGUAUAAAAAAGUAAAGAUAAACACUUGUACCUUUUGCAUCAUGGUUUAACUAGUUUAAUCAAGCAAAAAGACUUAUAGUCUGCCCCCCCGAAACCAAGUGAGCUACCCCAGGACAGCUUAAUGAGCAAACCCGUCUCUGUCGCAAAAGAGUGGGAAGAUCCUAGGGUAGAGGUGAUAUACCUAACGAACUUGGCGAUAGCUGGUUUUUCAGGAAAAGAAUCUUAGUUCAACCUAAAGUUAUUUAAAUAAAAAUAAAUAUAAAACUUGACUUUAGAGCUAUUCAAAUAAGUCACAGCCUAUUUGAUACAGGAUACAACCUACACCUUUGGGUAACAACAUAAUACAACUAACUAAGUAGGCCUAAAAGCAGCCACCUUCUAAAAAGCGUUAAAGCUUUAUUAACUAAACAAUAAUAUCCCUAAAAUUUUAAAGAACCCUACACUAAUACUGAAAGAUCCUAUACCCCUAUAGAACUCUCUAUGUUAAAACUAGUAAUAAGAAAACAUUUCUCUUACCAACGCAAAUGUAAACCAAAAUGGAACAUCCACUGAUAAUUAACAGCCAUAAACCAAAGUAACACCAAACCGAGAAAACCCUACUUUAACAACUGUUAACCUUACACAAGAGCGUUUAAAGAAAGAUUAAAAGAAAAGGAAGGAACUCGGCAAACACUGAUUCCGCCUGUUUACCAAAAACAUCGCCUCUUGAUAAUAUAUAAGAGGUCCAGCCUGCCCAGUGACCUAGUUCAACGGCCACGGUAUCCUAACCGUGCGAAGGUAGCAUAAUCACCUGUUUUUUAAUUGAAGACCAGUAUGAAAGGCACCACGAGAAUCUCACUGUCUCCCUUCUCUAAUCAAUGAAACUAAUCUCCCCGUGAAAAAGCAGGGAUAUUUCUACAAGACGAGAAGACCCUUUGGAGCUUAAGAUAAUAGUAUAAUUAUUGCUAUUAACCUUCACCCACCAACCUAAAAUAGCAUUUAUUUACAAGUCUUUGGUUGGGGCAACCGCGGAGUAAAAAAUAACCUCCAAGAUGAAAAGAACUUUUCUUAAACAAAAAGUUACAACUUUAUGUAUCAACAAAAUGACAUCAAUUGACCCAAUAUUUUGAUUAACGAACCAAGUUACCCUAGGGAUAACAGCGCAAUCCACUUCGAGAGUUCAUAUCGACAAGUGGGCUUACGACCUCGAUGUUGGAUCAAGGUAUCCUAGUGGUGCAGCCGCUACUAAAGGUUCGUUUGUUCAACGAUUAAAACCUCACGUGAUCUGAGUUCAGACCGGAGUAAUCCAGGUCAGUUUCUAUCUGUAAAGAGUUAUUUCCAGUACGAAAGGACAGAAAUAACAUGGCCUCUUUUAUAAUUACGCCAUUCACCAACUUAUGAUAUUUCUUAACAAGUUAAAUCUACCACUUUACUCAAGAACAGAGAAA